ACUGCGCUCCUUCACUUCGUCCCGGGAUCCCGGCCAAUCCUCCCGGACGCGUUCCCACGAGAGCCGCCUCAGCCUCCCAUGCGCGCGCACUGUUCUCGCCUCAACCGCACGAGCUAUGCAGCAGCAUCAGCCCACGCUUCUUCCGGCAAGGCGGCGCGACGCGCGCUCCACGCGGCGGCGCCCGCUCCCGAUCACAGGCAGAGCGGCGGCACGCCGCCCGGGCUCGGUGCGCCCGCCGCGCAGCCCCUCGGGUCAAUGUUCGGAGAGGUCCUCCGGCCGGGCGCGCUCGAGCUCGCCGCGGCGAUCAGGUCGACCUCGGCGCUCCCGGACGGCGGCCGCGCCCUCGGGAGGUGCCUCCACGGGCUCGCCGUGAAGGCCGGGCGCGUGGCGAGCAGCGCGGCGGUGGCGAAGGCGGUCAUGGACAUGUACGGUCGGUCGGGAGCCCUCGCGGACGCCCGCCUGCUGUUCGACGAAAUGGCGCACCCCGACGCGGUGUGCUGGAACAUCCUCAUCGCCGCGUCCUCUCGCGGCGGGCCCUUCGACGACGCGUUCGGCCUGUUCAGGUCGAUGCUCGCUUGUGGCGCUGCGCAGAGCAUGCCGACCGCGGUGACCGUGGCUGUGAUUGUUCCGGCGUGCGCCAAGUGGAGGCGUUUGCAGACUGGCAGGAGCGUCCAUGGGUACGUGAUCAAAACCGGCUUGGAAUCAGAUACUCUGUGUGGGAAUGCUUUGGUGUCUAUGUAUGCAAAGUGUGGUGGAAGCAGGGCAAUGGAUGAUGCACGCAGAGCAUUUUCCUCUAUUCGCAGUAAGGAUGUUGUUUCUUGGAAUUCGAUCAUUGCAGGGUACAUAGAGAACGGGUUAUUUCAUGAGGCACUUGUGCUGUUCGGCCAGAUGAUCUCACAGGGAUUUCUUCCGAAUUAUUCAACAGUUGCUAACAUUCUUCCCGUGUGCUCAUUCACAGAGUUCGGGAGGUAUUAUGGGAAAGAAGUUCACAGUUUCGUGGUCCGGCAUGGUUUGGACAUGGAUAUUUCUGUUUGCAAUGCACUGAUGACACAUUAUUCCAGAGUGUUUGAAACAAAGGCUUUGGAGUCUGUAUUUUCAAGUAUGGAUGUGAGGGAUAUCGUUACUUGGAACACCAUUAUUGCCGGAUAUGUGAUGAAUGGGUAUCACUCUAGGGCGCUAGACCUAUUUCAGGGGCUUCUGUCCACAGGAAUUGCUCCCGAUUCUGUUUCUUUUAUCAGUCUGCUCACUGCCUGUGCUCAAUUAUGUGAUGUCAAAGCAGGGAUUGGGGUUCACGGUUAUAUCUUUCAAAGGCCAGUGCUUCUUCAAGAAACAUCGUUAAUGAAUGCUCUUGUCACAUUCUAUAGCCAGUGUGACAGGUUUGAUGAUGCUUUCCGUGCUUUCACGGGUAUUCUGAACAAAGAUUUAAUAUCAUGGAAUGCAAUUCUGUCUGCUUGUGCUAACAGUGAACAGCACAUUGAGGAGUUCUUUGGGCUGUUGUGUGAAAUGUGCCAUCAGUGGGACUCAGUCACAGUCUUGAAUGUUAUACGGAUGAGUGCCUUCAGUGGGAUUAAGAUGGUUCGUGAAGCUCAUGGCUGGUCCCUACGAGUCGGUUACACAGGUGAAACUUCAGUAGCAAAUGCUAUUCUGGAUGCUUAUGUGAAGUGUGGCUACUCACAGGAUGCAAGUAUACUUUUCAGAAACCUUGCUGGGCGAAACAUUGUAACUGACAAUACAAUGAUUUCUUGCUACAUGAAGAAUAAAUGUAUAGAGGAUGCCGAGGUGAUCUUCAACCAUAUGGCUGAGAAAGACUUGACUUCAUGGAAUCUGAUGAUCCAGUUGUAUGCGGAAAAUGACAUGGAUGAUCAAGCGGUCAGUAUGUUUAACCACUUGCAGUCUGAAGGAUUGAAACCUGAUAUUGUCAGCAUUACAGGCAUUCUUGAGGCUUGCAUCCAUUUGUGCUCUGUACAGCUUGUGAGACAAUGCCAUACCUACAUGCUCAGAGCAACCCUAGAAGACAUCCAUCUUGAAGGAGCUCUUCUUGAUGCAUACUCGAAGUGUGGCAACAUAACCAAUGCAUACAACAUCUUCCAAGUCAGCCCAAAAAAGGACCUUGUCACAUUCACUGCCAUGAUCGGAUGUUAUGCGAUGCAUGGAAUGGCAGAAGAAGCAGUAGAGCUGUUCUCUAAAAUGCUUAAUCUUGACAUUAGACCGGACCAUGUAGUUCUCACCACACUGCUGUCAGCAUGCAGUCAUGCUGGGCUAGUUGAUGCAGGCAUAAAGAUUUUCAAGUCCAUCAGAGAGAUUCACAGAAUUGAGCCUACAGCUGAACACUAUGCAUGUAUGGUUGAUCUUCUUGCCCGUAACGGACGUCUUCAAGAUGCAUAUAUGUUUGCCUUGGAUAUGCCCCCUCACGCAGUCAAUGCGAAUGCAUGGGGCUCCCUUCUAGGGGCAUGCAAGGUCCAUGGAGAAGUCGAACUUGGCCAGCUUGCAGCUGAUCACUUGUUCGCCAUGGAGGCGGGGAACAUCGGGAACUACGUCAUUAUGUCAAACAUCUAUGCAGCUGAUGAGAAAUGGGAUGGUGUUGAGCAUGUCAGGAAACUUAUGAAGUCCAAGGAUAUGAAGAAACCUGCAGGAUGCAGCUGGAUUGAGGUUGAGAAGACCAGGCAUUUAUUCAUUGCCAGUGAUGUUAAGCACCAAGAUAGGUCUUGUAUCUAUGAUAUGCUAGGAAGUUUGUAUCAGCAGAUCAAAGAUACACAAACGCAGAGCAUGACAAUGGUACAAUCUAUGUGACUGCCAAUUGCAGUCUUGCAGAAACUAGAAGCGGAGUGCUCUUUAUCAAAGAUGUGCUCAUUGGCUUGCCUGACUCGGGUUGCAAGACUUCCACUUCCUGUCUGCAAAUUAGUGAUGAAAGUGUGUUUGUCUGACUGAGGAACAGUAUGCAUCUUCAUGUCUUAGCAGAUGGUAAUUUAAUAGCAUCCCAUGCCAUCUUAAUAAAGCCUUUCUAAACCCAGGUUGACUUUUGUAUGCAUUGGUGAAUGAGGCCAAGGUGAAUGAGGUUCUAAAGUGAAUUUCAAGGUGCAUACCGUACACACUUCUCCCCUUGUUGAGGACAAGUUUAGUGUAGCAGUUGUUGGUAUUGGCACUUGGCAAUGUGUCAAUUGUCAACACGGUCAAUAGCAUCUCCGUGGGCAGACUCUGACCAAAGGAGCCGAAGUCCUGGUGCCUGAGCCUUCAUGUGAAUGAAGUUUCUAUGGGAAACUUUAUCCAAUUGCUCCAGAAAGCCACUUCGAGAAAUAAGCAUGCAGACUCCUGCACCUGCUACGGUUCAGAACUUCCUGCAAUUUUGGAUCAGAUUGGAGAGGGGCAUCAUCGCAAUGUGUUUCUUCAGGCCCAAGGUCGAAUUGCUCAAGUUUACCAUCAACUGCUGGACCCAGUUCAAACAGCAAGCCAAAAGGCAACUUGUUGCGGUCAGUGGUCUGUAUGGCUCUCAAUAGCUGCUCAUCAUAUUCUGCACUGCUAUUAGCACGAUAUCCUCCCAGUUAAGCGGAAGCAGGAACUAACUGCUGCAGGCUGCGUCGUGAGAAGAGCUGGAUGUUUUUAGAAGAAAGAAGGAGCUGGAUGUUUGGGAAGGAAGCUGCAGCUGCAGACUGCAGAGCAUAGCUCUCGAGAGUCAAAGCAUAGCUCUGAAGCCGAACCCACCACAGUCACAACUCACCAACCCAACCAGGGGUCCAGGCUUGCAACCGUGCAGGGCACGCGUUUUUUACCAGAAAUACACUGGGCGCCGUCCACGAAAUUCCGAGCCCGAACAGGUCACCAACCAAACUCGGGGUCGGCCGGGCGGGGGACCGUUCGGCCGUACUGCUAUAAUAGCGUCCUCUGCGCCCACGAAGCCGUUCCCCUUCGCGCCGCGCGGAGAAAAAGAGAAGAAAAUCGAUUCCCCUUUGCUUUGCUCGCCGGAACCUCCGCCGCCCGUUGAUGGAUUUCGGAAGGACCAAAUCCGCCGCCGCCGUAGCACUGCUCAAAGCGACCUCCCGCCCGUCCGGACUGCCCUUCUCGGCCGCCGCCACGCCGUGGUUCCGGGAGCUGUGGGUCAACACCUCCAAAUAACGGGUCUCC